CGUGCCUGUCAGUGAGGAGGCGGAGGCACAGUGGGCACUGGACCUCGGUCCCCACCUGAGCAGCGCAGCUGCGCUUUGGCCUGCGCCCUCCUCCCUCCCGCCACCACCGGCCAUAAUCGCGCAGACUCCUCCCUGGUUGGAUGUGCCUGAAGGUCCUUAAGAACGGAUGUCACCUCAGCAGGAGGCUCCAGAGGAGCAUCGCAGGAGGCACCUGCAUGGAGAAGAAAAUGAAAACAUUAGUAAGAAGAGAGAGGAGUGUUCUAUCUCUUCUCCUGGACAAAAUCCUUCAACAACAGCCCAGUACUGGCAGCACCAGCAUUCUCUGUUGGAAAAGAAAUGGAAAAUAAUGAUGGAAAUUUAAUAAUGGAAAAUUUGACUUCUGUCCUGAGCUUAUUUAAAAAGACCCUUUUUGUUGGAAUAAUAAAGCCUUUUAGAUCUGGUGUGUAUGCUAAGUUAGUUUAAAAUUAAUUCA